rnacentral:tRNA from 1 species
GCGGAUGUAGUUCAAUGGUAGAACUUCAGCCUUCCAAGCUGGCCACGCGAGUUCGAUUCUCGUCAUCCGCU